rnacentral:rRNA from 1 species
AGAGUUUGAUCCUGGCUCAGGAUGAACGCUGACAGAAUGCUUAACACAUGCAAGUCUACUUGAAUUCUCUUCGGAGAUAGUAAGGUGGCGGACGGGUGAGUAACACGUAAAGAACUUGCCCUGCAGUCUGGGACAACUAUUGGAAACGAUAGCUAAUACCGGAUAUUAUGCGAGAGCCGCAUGGCUCUUUCAUGAAAGCUAUAUGCGCUGCAGGAGAGCUUUGCGUCCCAUUAGUUAGUUGGUGAGGUAACGGCUCACCAAGACCGCGAUGGGUAGCCGGCCUGAGAGGGUGGACGGCCACAAGGGGACUGAGACACGGCCCUUACUCCUACGGGAGGCAGCAGUGGGGAAUAUUGGACAAUGGACCAAAAGUCUGAUCCAGCAAUUCUGUGUGCACGAUGACGGUCUUAGGAUUGUAAAGUGCUUUCAAUCGGGAAAAAGAAAGUGAUGGUACCGAUAGAAGAAGCGACGGCUAAAUACGUGCCAGCAGCCGCGGUAAUACGUAUGUCGCAAGCGUUAUCCGGAUUUAUUGGGCGUAAAGCGCGUCUAGGCGGUCUGGUAAGUCUGAUGUGGAAAUGCGGGGCUCAACUCCGUAUUGCGUUGGAAACUGCCAGACUAGAGUACUGGAGAGGUGGGCGGAACUACAAGUGUAGAGGUGAAAUUCGUAGAUAUUUGUAGGAAUGCCGAUAGAGAAGUCAGCUCACUGGACAGAUACUGACGCUGAAGCGCGAAAGUGCGGGUAUCGAACAGGAUUAGAUACCCUGGUAGUCCGCACGGUAAACGAUGGGUGCCCGCUGUUGGUCGGAAUAGGUCAGCGGCCAAGCGAAAGCAUUAAGCAUCCCACCUGGGGAGUACGCCGGCAACGGUGAAACUCAAAGGAAUUGACGGGGGCCCGCACAAGCGGAGGAACAUGUGGUUUAAUUCGAUGAUACGCGAGGAACCUUACCCGGGCUUGAAUUGCAGAGGAAGGAUUUGGAGACAAUGACGCCCUUCGGGGCCUCUGUGAAGGUGCUGCAUGGUUGUCGUCAGCUCGUGCCGUGAGGUGUCGGCUUAAGUGCCAUAACGAGCGCAACCCUUGUUGUCAGUUACUAACAGGUUCUGCUGAGGACUCUGACAAGACUGCCAUCGUAAGAUGUGAGGAAGGUGGGGAUGACGUCAAAUCAGCACGGCCCUUACGUCCGGGGCCACACACGUGUUACAAUGGGCGGUACAGAGGGCAGCCACCUGGUGACAGGGCGCCAAUCCUCAAAGCCGUUCUCAGUUCGGACUGGAGUCUGCAACCCGACUCCACGAAGCUGGAUUCGCUAGUAACCGCGCAUCAGCCAUGGCGCGGUGAAUACGUUCCCGGGCCUUGCACACACCGCCGGUCA